UACGUAGGGGGCAAGCGUUGUCCGUAAUUAUUGGGCGUAAAGAGCUCGUAGGCGGUUUGUCGCGUCUGCUGUGAAAACGCGAGGCUCAACCUCGCGCCUGCAGUGGGUACGGGCAGACUAGAGUGUGGUAGGGGAGAUUGGAAUUCCUGGUGUAGCGGUGGAAUGCGCAGAUAUCAGGAGGAACACCGGUGGCGAAGGCGGGUCUCUGGGCAACAACUGACGCUGAGGAGCGAAAGCGUGGGGAGCGAACAGG
rnacentral:rRNA from 1 species